rnacentral:rRNA from 1 species
AUAAACGCUGGCGGCGUGCUUAACACAUGCAAGUCGAACGGAGUGGUCCUCCCGAAGCGUGAAGGUGCUUGCACCCUAACAAUUCAUUUGGAUCACUUAGUGGCGGACGGGUGAGUAACGCGUGGGAAACCUGCCCUAUACUGGGGGAUAGCAGUUGGAAACGACUGAUAAUACCGCAUAAGCGCACAGUAUCGCAUGGUACAGUGUGAAAAACUCCGGUGGUAUAGGAUGGUCCCGCGUCUGAUUAGCUAGUUGGUGAGGUAACGGCCCACCAAGGCGACGAUCAGUAGCCGGCCUGAGAGGGUGUACGGCCACAUUGGGACUGAGACACGGCCCAAACUCCUACGGGAGGCAGCAGUGGGGAAUAUUGGACAAUGGGGGCAACCCUGAUCCAGCGACGCCGCGUGAGUGAUGAAGUAUCUCGGUAUGUAAAGCUCUAUCAGCAGGGAAGAUAAUGACGGUACCUGACUAAGAAGCACCGGCUAAAUACGUGCC